UUGCACAGGCUAGCCAAGGCGGACGGGUGAGUAACGCGUAAAGAACUUGCCCUGCAGACAGGGAUAACAGACGGAAACGACUGAUAACACCUGAUACAAUUGCCGGCACGCAUGUGCCGGGCAAUGAAAAGAGAUGCUGCGGGAGAGCUUUGCGUCCUAUUAGCUUGUUGGUGAGGUAACGGCUCACCAAGGCGAUGAUAGGUAGCCGGCCUGAGAGGGUGAACGGCCACAAGGGGACUGAGAUACGGCCCUUACUCCUACGGGAGGCAGCAGUGGGGAAUAUUGGACAAUGGGGGCAACCCUGAUCCAGCAAUUCUGUGUGCACGAAGAAGGUUUUCGGAUUGUAAAGUGCUUUCAGCAGGGAAGAAGAAAGUGACGGUACCUGCAGAAGAAGCGACGGCUAAAUACGUGCCAGCAGCCGCGGUAAUACGUAUGUCGCAAGCGUUAUCCGGAAUUAUUGGGCAUAAAGGGCAUCUAGGCGGCCAGACAAGUCUGGGGUGAAAACUUGCGGCUCAACCGCAAGCCUGCCCUGGAAACUGUUUGGCUAGAGUGCUGGAGAGGUGGACGGAACUGCACGAGUAGAGGUGAAAUUCGUAGAUAUGUGCAGGAAUGCCGAUGAUGAAGAUAGUUCACUGGACGGCAACUGACGCUGAAGUGCGAAAGCUAGGGGAGCGAACAGGAUUAGAUACCCUGGUAGUCCUAGCUGUAAACGAUGAUUACUGGGUGUGGGCAUGAAGAGUGUCCGUGCC
rnacentral:rRNA from 1 species